AAAAAAAACUAACCCAAGCACUCUUUCUUUCAAAAUUUCAUGAUAUACAUUGCUCAAUUAGUUAGAUUUUCUCUCACUUCCUCCUUUAGUUCCGUUCCAUAGAAAUCCCAUUUUCUUAUAUGGAACUCUGAGCUGCCAUUUCCUUUAAUUUCUCAAACAAAAUUUCCCUAAUUUUUUGAAAUCAAAAUCCAAUUUUUUCUCCCAGGUUUUCCCACAUUUUUCACACUCAAUGAUCUUCCAUUUUACUCUAUUUUAAUUUUGAUCCUCAUGAUCGUGAACGAUUAAUCAAGUU
rnacentral:misc_RNA from 1 species